rnacentral:rRNA from 1 species
UGAGUAACCUGCCCUUAACUCUGGGAUAAGCCUGGGAAACUGGGUCCAAUACCGGAUAUGACUCCUCAUCGCAUGGUGGGGGGUGGAAAGCUUUUUGUGGUUUUGGAUGGACUCGCGGCCUAUCAGCUUGUUGGUGAGGUAAUGGCUCACCAAGGCGACGACGGGUAGCCGGCCUGAGAGGGUGACCGGCCACACUGGGACUGAGGCACGGCCCAGACUCCUACGGGAGCAG